AAUACCAAAUGCAACUUUCUCUCCCUCACUCUCUCUCGAUAUUUUUUUUUCUCCCUCAAAAUAAACCACAGCUUCCAUUAUCUUGAACCUCCAUAACUAAUUUUUCUCGAAUUGUCAAGUUUAUCUGCGGAUCGGUUUAAUCACUCAUGCAAUCGACAGGUUUAUCAAGAAUAUAAGGCGGAGGAUUAUGGACGGUGGUAAAAUGAUGGGAUAAGGAUUGGAAGAGAAAAGGGUGUGAAGUGACUGGAACGUAAAGGUGGUCAAAUGGAUUAUGCUCAUAAGCCUGACAGGUUAGUUGGUAUUGAAGAGUACCAGUCGAUAUUUGUUCAUUUCUGUCUCAGCGCUGCAUCUUUGGUGGAUCACUUAGCUCUAUUAGAGAUAGAUCUUUCGAAUCGUUAGUUGUGGCAUGUUAGCACUAAAUUCUGUACUAAGUUAUUUCCGCUGUAAAUGUAAAUAUUAAAUAAUCAUUUAAGUAUUUGGUUUU